GCGGGGUUAAACAUGUUAGCGGGAUCCCAACCCUCCCCCUAACCUGGGACAGUGGUAUAACAGUACAACAUAAGAACGAACUAUAAAAAUCAGUUGAAAAAGGCUUAACUCAUCAGAUGGACAAAAAUACAGUGGACGUGGCCCGGUACUUAUACAUCCCGACACAAAAAGACACAAUGAACAGAUCUGAGAGUACUCGCAGUUAUCUGACAGCUAGUUCA
rnacentral:lncRNA from 1 species